UUGAGCCGUGUGCAGUGAAAACCGCACGCACGGUUCUUAGGGGGGAGGGGGCCGGCAACGGCCCCCUCCCACCCGAC
rnacentral:ncRNA from 1 species